GAGGAUAAUACUGGAUAGGCAAUUUUUCCUGUAAUGGUUUUUUGUUUAAAUGUUUUUUCGCCUAAGGAUGGGUCUGCGGCCGAUUAGGUAGUUGGUUAGGUAAUGGCUUACCAAGCCGUUGAUCGGUACGGGUUGUGAGAGCAAGAGCCCGGAGAUGGAACCUGAGACAAGGUUCCAGGCCCUACGGGGUGCAGCAGGCGCGAAACCUCCGCAAUGUGAGAAAUCGCGACGGGGGGAUCCCAAGUGUCAUUCUUAACGGGAUGGCUUUUCAUUAGUGUAAAGAGCUUUUGGAAUAAGGGCUGGGCAAGACCGGUGCCAGCCGCCGCGGUAACACCGGCAGCUCUAGUGGUAGCAAUUUUUAUUGGGCCUAAAGCGUCCGUAGCCGGUUUAAUAAGUCUCUGGUGAAAUCCUGUAGCUUAACUGUGGGAAUUGCUGGAGAUACUAUUAGACUUGAGACCGGGAGAGGUUGGAGGUACUCCCAGGGUAGAGGUGAAAUUCUGUAAUCCUGGGAGGACCGCCUGUUGCGAAGGCGUCUAACUGGAACGGUUCUGACGGUGAGGGACGAAAGUUAGGGGCGCGAACCGGAUUAGAUACCCGGGUAGUCCUAACUGUAAACGAUGCGGACUUGGUGUUGGGGUGGCCUUGAGCUGCUCCAGUGCCGAAGGGAAGCUGUUAAGUCCGCCGCCUGGGAAGUACGGUCGCAAGACUGAAACUUAA
rnacentral:rRNA from 1 species